rnacentral:rRNA from 1 species
AAUAUUGCACAAUGGGGGAAACCCUGAUGCAGCGACGCCGCGUGAGCGAAGAAGGCCUUCGGGUCGUAAAGCUCUGUCCUUGGGGAAGAAGGUCUUCGGACUUGACGGUACCUAAGGAGGAAGCCCCGGCUAACUACGUGCCCGCAGCCGCGGUAAUACGUAGGGGGCAAGCGUUGUCCGGAAUUAUUGGGCGUAAAGGGUGCGUAGGCGGCCUUUUAAGUCAGAUGUGAAAGCCCACGGCUCAACCGUGGGAUUGCAUUUGAAACUGGAGGGCUUGAGUAUCGGAGAGGGUAGUGGAAUUCCCAGUGUAGCGGUGAAAUGCGUAGAUAUUGGGAGGAACACCAGUGGCGAAGGCGACUACCUGGACGAUUACUGACGCUGAUGCACGAAAGCUAGGGGAGCAAACA